AAAAAUUAUAUGAAAAGCAAACAAACCCAAAAUUGCAACCAGCUUGCGAAAGCGCAGCUGGUGGGUGCUCUCGCCAGCAUCUCAAAGAGCAGGAGAAGAGACUUUGGGCCAAGAGAAGAUGGUAACCUUUGUACAACAUGCUUUGGAGAGAGGACUCUGCCAAAGGGCUUAUCCGACACCACUGCUGAAAUAAGCCAACACUGUUGAUCCCCCUUCAGCCUAGCGGGACAGGUGGGAAAGGGCCAACAGGCCAACCAGGGUAAAGUUGAGAGGGAGUGAGGAGGUGGGAGGUAGGCUGGGGAGGGAGGGAGAAUAUAAGGUUGAUCUAGGGGUCACCCUCAACUUGCCAUGCAGACAGCUGCCAAUCAGUGGUUGCCUCUGCAAAGAUUGCUUGGGCAGAGGAAUCUGAGUCCAGCAGGGCUGGAUGAAGUUACAGACCUAGCAGCAAAUCCUGAUACGCUCCUCAGAAGUGUUUUUUAAAAAAAUGAAACAGGCUUGGGGGCUCAAGUCUGCUUAGCAGCCAUUCUUAGGAGCACCCCAAUUCCAGAUUUUUGUGUUCAUGGGUGAAGAGUCUGCAGACAGAUGAUGGUAAUUGUUAAGAGAUCAGAAGGCUAUACAGUGGUACCUUUGGUUACGUACUUAAUUCGUUCCGGAGGUCCGUUCUUAACCUGAAACUGUUCUUAACCUGAAGCACCACUUUAGCUAAUGGGGCCUCCCGCUGCUGCUGCACCGCCGCUGCACGAUUUCUGUUCUCAUCCUGAGGUAAAGUUCUUAACCUAAGGUACUAUUUCUGGGUUAGCGGAGUCUGUAACCUGAAGCGUAUUUAACCCGAGGUACCACUGUAAUUCAGUUGUUCCCAAAGUGGGUGGUAUUGCCCUCCUGGGGGGGAUUACCCCGGGGGGGGCGCUUUAAGAGGCAAGGGGGUGGCAGAGGGACACUGGAGACAUCGAUGACUCUCUGGCUUUGAAAAGCGAGUUCCUCUCAGCUAUGCUGGAUUAAAGUACAUCGUUUUCAUUGCAUUUUGAAUAAACGUGCAACUAAUUGUUACUGUUUUGAAUUUCAUUGUGCUUUCAUGUUCCUUAUUGGGUUGUGCAAACUGCUGUUCUGAAUGAUGCUUUUCAUAGGGCAAGGGGCACUGAGGAUGAGUUCAUGGAACCAAGGGGACGCUGGCCAGAAAAAUUGGGAACCACUGAUAAUAAUCUGUAAUUGGAGAGCUGGAAAACGUGUGGAAAAGAGGAUCAGGAUGGUCGCGGUGGGGGUGGGGGGUGAGAGCACCUUUCCUAGGAGGAAAGCUAAAAUCAGGGAUAAAACAGAUGUUCUUGGACUCCAUCUCCCCCCUGACCUCUGGCCUUGCUGGUGAAGUCCAUUUUGGAGGCCACAGGUUCCCCAUCCCUAUCACAUGGAGACAACAGAAGAGCAUGGGACGUGUUAUGUAAAGGAGCCUACAGGUACUGGCAUCUGUUAGAAGUGAUACAACCUCUGUCAAAACUCCCAGAUUGCUUUGCCCACCAGACCAUGCAAGGCAAUUCCUCUGAACUCCAUGACCAGCAACCAGAGCUAGCCAUAUUGUAUAUCAGUCUAAAUAGCAGGGUUCUCUGCCAACACUAAGUAAGUCUUAAAUAAGCAGCCCUGAUAAAAUUACAUAAGAUCCAUGUCUGUGGCCAGUAUCUCUACAGCAGUGUGCCCCAACCUGUGCCCUCCUCCAGAUGUUUUGGACCACAACUCUCAUCAGCUCCAGUCAGCACUCGCUGAAGACGAUGGGAGUUGUAGCCCAAAACAUCUGGAGGGAACCAGGUUGGGGAGUAGGGCUGCUCUAAAGUACUAGCUGCAGAUAUUAAGUAGUGUCCUUGCAAAUGUGAUGAAUGCACAGAAUUCGCUUUGCUGAGGAUUUCAGAAUGUCUUUUUUCUUUAAGAACCCCAAAUCUUAAUUUUAAAAUUGCUGGGAUUAUUUCGUUUUGGGCAGUUGAAAGUUAGUUAAAGAUGAAUUGCACAUACUUACUACGGAAAUAUACCGGUAUUUUGUUAAGUUUCUCACAUUGGGACCUGUUCUUUCCCCCCGUUUUCAUUUACAAAACUCUGUACUCUGAUAGUAGGCUUAAAAGCAGCCCCAGCCAGCACAGUGUUGGUGUUGUUGUUGUUGUAGUAAGAAAAUCAUUUCUUACAUUUAUAUCCAGGGCUUUUGUUCAGCCAGAACUCUCCAGAACUCAGUCACGGCACCUCUCAGGUGAGCACCAUUAUAAGAGAACAAGGGAGGCGUUCAUGGUGAGCACCUCUUUUUCUACAAAAAAACACAUUGUUUAUAUCUCACUGUUUUCUCUGAAAUGCUUGCAGAGAGGGAAUGCGCAUAACAGAUUGUCAUUGAAUUGGCUACUCACUGUCUCGCACUGGAGCUACCUGCAAAUCACAGCCUCUGGAAAUCCUUAUUUUUCUUUGCAUUUAUAUGCCAUAGAGCAAAGUUUAACAGCUGGCCUCCCUUUCUUGCAGCCAGUGAUCAGCACCUGUGAAAAUUUCAAGUUCAGGAAAUCUCAAGGUCAGACACCCUGAGGCAUUUAUGGUCCAGGAGAACGGUUACGACUUUCAUGUGACUCUCUCUUACCCUUGAUGACCGAAAUAAAAGUAUUGCAAACAAAGGAUGGUUGAGAAAUUAACAGAAUUUCCUAGUAAAAGAUCGUUCUCAAAAUGCAUUCAUUAAUGGUAACCUCCUCCUCCUUCCUGCCCUCUCCAGUCUGCUUCUCACACCAAGG